rnacentral:misc_RNA from 1 species
CAACCCUCAAGCUCUGCUUGGUCUUGGGCGUCACCGGUCUCGGUGUGCCCUAAAAUCAGUGGCGGCGCCGCCUGGCUCCAAGCGUAGUAAUGCUCUCGCUAUGGACGCCUGGCGGCUGCUUGCCAGCAACCCCUAAUUUAUCAA